rnacentral:rRNA from 1 species
UACGUAGGGGGCAAGCGUUGUCCGGAAUUAUUGGGCGUAAAGAGCGCGUAGGCGGUCCGAUAAGUCGGCUGUGAAAGUCUAGGGCUCAACCCUGGAAAGCCGGCCGAUACUGUCGGACUAGAGUCCGGAAGAGGCGAGUGGAAUUCCCGGUGUAGCGGUGAAAUGCGCAGAUAUCGGGAGGAACACCAGUGGCGAAGGCGGUUGCCUGGAGCUUUGCUGACGCUGAUGCGCGAAAGCGUGGGGAGCGAGUCCGG